rnacentral:rRNA from 1 species
UUUAUCAAAAACAUCUCCUCUUGUUUUGCUUUGUGAGGUACGGCCUGCCCACUGAUUGAUUGAAGGGCCGCGGUAUUUUGACCGUGCAAAGGUAGCAUAAUCAUUAGUUCUUUAAUUGUGAACUGGUAUGAAUGGCUUGACGAGGUACUAGCUGUCUUUUGUGGAUUGUUAUUUGAAUUUAUGUCUUGGGUAAGAAUACCUAAAUUUUUUUAUGGGACGAGAAGACCCUAUAGAGUUUGACAUGGGUAGGUUGAUCUUUUGUUAUUGUAUUUUUUGAUGGUUUAUACGUGUUUUGUUGGGGUGAUGGGAGGAUACUACGAACUCUUCCUUAUUUUGUUAUACUUGUUUGUGUUGUUUUUGAUCCUUUAUUAUUGAUUAUAAGAUUAAAUUACCUUAGGGAUAACAGCGUUAUCCUUUUUGAGAGUUCUUAUCGACAAAAGGGUUUGCGACCUCGAUGUUGGAUUAAGGUGAAUAAU